AUGGUGUGGAAUGUGAAGGGUCCUGGAGGUCUGCCAGAGUGAAUCCCCAUCCUGCAGGGGCUGAGGCACCCAGCUGCUACCAGUACUACCACCAUGGUUUUGUGUUAGGUGCUGAGGACACAGUAACAAUCAGAUCGAUCCAGACCACACUGUGCUCUCAUUCCAGCUGACAAAAUUGUCAAAAAAGAAAAAUGCAAUAAGUGCUACAACAGAGAUCUAGACAAAGUGUAGCAGGGCCACUUGGUGGGACCCUGCUUUGUCC
rnacentral:lncRNA from 1 species